UACAGAGGUCCCAAGCGUUGUUCGGAUUUACUGGGCGUAAAGGGUGCGUAGGCGGCGCCGCAAGUCAGGCGUGAAAUCCCCGAGCUUAACUUGGGAAUGGCGCUUGAAACUACGGUGCUGGAGUGUGGCAGAGGGAGGUGGAAUUCCACGUGUAGCGGUGAAAUGCGUAGAGAUGUGGAGGAACACCGAUGGCGAAGGCAGCCUCCUGGGCCAACACUGACGCUCAUGCACGAAAGCGUGGGGAGCAAACAGG
rnacentral:rRNA from 1 species